UGCAGAGUGUCUGCCGUGCCAGAAGAGUUGGGAGAGUUUACUGGAAAAGUUUGACCAGUUUUAUGACCAAAAUUCAGGCCAGAAUCCUGGGAAAGGAGCCCGACUGUACUGUCAAAACACGUCCGCAGACCUGGUGGUCGUUGAUGACGUCAAAGAACAGAGUCCUGCCAGUAAUCAUGAGAUGAAUUUCUGCUCGUUGGGCCAAACGGACAACAACUGGCUCUGGAUCGAUGGGCGAAAUGAGAGUCUUGGGUUCUGGAUGACCGGAGUGGUUUGGUUUUCUGGUCCGUACGCCACGGUGAUAACAUGGUGGACAUCCUCAGCGACGUUAUUCACUCCAACGUCUCUGUUUGGAAACGGCUUCAGCUGUUAGACUGAAACUCAGCAGAAGCUUCACAUGAUGCCUGCAUGCAGAAAUAUAACUUUAUUUUAAUUACAGAAGUACUUUACCUCA